GCAGGGCGGCCGAGGGGCCGCUGCGGGACACGGCGCGUCCUGUGCCUCUCUCUUGUCCCCGCUCCUGUCCCCGGCCGGGAAAAGCCUCCCCCUCCCCGCCUCGACGCGUCCGAGAGCAAGGUACAUUGGAAAAUAUCCUGAGCAGCCCUGCCUGCAUCAAAGCUUUGCUUGGCUGUGCUCAGCUGUGGACUGAAAGGAGACAGCAUAUCAGUUCCCAGUAAAGGCUUGCACAGGUGUGUGUCCUCCAGGAUGUGCUCUGAAGAGCUCAGGAAAAGAGAGGAGGGAGCUUGGCCUGACCAGGGACAUCAUACUCGUGCUUGCUGCUGCCUUCUGAUUCCAUAACUCCUUCGUUUGUGUGGAUGACUUUUUCCAGCAGAGUGGAUCAGCUUCUGCCAUUGAGAUUCCUAUUCCACAUCACUGUGUUUGCAGUCAGCGGCGAGGAAAAGGAUGCUUCAAAUUCCCAAAGGUCACAAAAUACUGGGAAAUCAACUCUGGAUCAUGUCUCUCUUAGGCUGGUGCUCAAACCUCUGGGACAUUACAUAAAUAGGCGAUGCUUCUUCCUUAUGCAUUUUAGAAGUUCCUGGCAGUGGGCUGGAAUUCCUCAUCCUGACUGGAAAACAGCACCUCUGCCAUUCAGAAAAGGGCAGCUUGUUAUCUAAGAAGGGCUUUACCCCUGUCCUUGGCACCUCCAGCAUCUGCAGAGGCAGCUUUCUGUUUGCUUUUGUGAAUCAUAUCCUGAGAUAUCUUGCUUUCUGGGGCCAUUGAACAGAGAGUUUGAGUGCCUGACUUCUCUUCACGCCUUUCCUUGGGUGGAAAAGUGCCUGAAGCUAAAAUGUGGAGCUCUCAGUAUCACCACCUGUAUCCUUCUGUGGGCCAAGCUCUCACUCCCGAACUUGCUGGGAACUGGACUCCUAAAUUCUGUGUGGGCCUGUGCAAAAUUACUGCAGUGCCAUUGAGGUGCUUCUGCCAGUGACAAUGAAGAGCAGGUGGGCUCCAGAAUCCCUGAGGCUGGCUGGCACUUCUGGAGACCAUCCAGCCCACCCCCUGGCUCAGAACAGAGUCAGCUGGAGCUGCCCAGCACCGUUGCCAGUUGGAGUUUUAAUAUCUCGAGACUCCACAGUCUCUCUGGGCAAUCUGGCCCAGUUUAACAAUCCCCUUGGUAAAAGAAAUGGGUUUCUUAUGUUUAGAACAUCUGCACAUCUGCAACCCUGCACAGGGGAAGCGGGAAGUUCCUCAUUUGUGGAAGUGAGCUCGGGCCAGACUUAGGCUGGGAAUCUGCUUCCGUGCCAGCCGUAAGGUGACGUUUUAAGGGUGAACUCCUGCUGUUGUCUGGCAGAGCCCUCACUUAUCCCAGAGUUAAUCUUUGCUAAAAAGAGGAGGGGCUGAUAAUACAUCUUUCUCUGAGGGCUGUGGUUUCAAAAAUUCAGCACUGUGACUUUGGAGUUUGUCUUCUGGAAGGGAUGUGUGGAAUAGAAACAAUGAAGUAGUAAGACCAAAGAAGACAGAAGCCCAGAGG